ACAGAAUGUUUCAGACACGAACACAUGUAUAUAUUGAAUUGACAGUUUUCCUUUCAGGUUAAGUUUAUUAACAAAGUUGAGGUCAGUGGCACUAAAUGCAAUCCUGUGUGAAGUCCAUUAAAACUACCUUUUGUUCUGCUUAUCACAAUGUGUUUUUUCCUUAUUUUGCUAAGUUUUACAAUGUUUUAAUCAUAGAAACUGAUGUACAUAGGUUUUUUUUUAAAGCAAAUACUGCUGAAAGCAACAAAAAACACUAUUGCACCUGUCUUAUCACGCCCCUUUCCUACCUCAAUGUGAAUUCUGUAGUCACAGUUUCUACUUUCAGUUCUUAUAGCUAUUUCUUCACACGCUCGAAAUUGUCAAAGCUUCUAACAAUGCCUGCCAAUGAUGCCAAUGUCUGGCAAACUAAGAUGGGGUCUGGGUGACAGAGUGCAGUGCCUCUUAUUGCAACUUCCAGCUCCCAGGCUCAAGCCAUCUUCCCACCUCAGCUACCAGAGUAGCUGGGACUACAGGACCGUGCCACCAUACCUGGCUAAUUUUUGUAUUUUUUGUAGAGACGGGGUUUCGCCAUGUUGCCAAGGCUGGUCUUGAACUCCUGGGCUCAAGUGAUCCUCCUCACUGGCUUCCCAAAGUGCUAGGAUUACAGAAGUGAUCCACCACAUCUGGCCACCUUUACUUUCUUUUCAGGAGAUUUUUCACAGUUUAAAAGGUUCUGCUGCUUACAAUUUCUCAGCUCAACAAUGACUUUGCAAUCCAGGCAGGACAGCCCACUUGGAACAUUGGUGCCUGUGCCAAAGAGUGAACAGCGGGCCAGUGGAAUCCAGUGUUCCUACGUCCUUCUGCUCUGACUCCUCCUGACUUGUCCAGUCUUAUUAACUGCCACGCUCAUGCGGCCAUGUACACUCCCCGAAUUCAGCACUACUUGUAUCAUCUUAAGCCAAGAGAUUGAUAAACUCCAGAAAUAAUCUCAGAAAUAAAUGUUGAAUAUUUCUAAAUCUGACUGAUUUUGUUGGUAUCUGACUGUUAUGGAAUUGUCAUCUAUGUUCCCAAGCAGAC
rnacentral:lncRNA from 1 species